rnacentral:tRNA from 1 species
AGGUAAUUAGCUCAGAUAGGAAGAGCAUCUCUCUUACAAAGAGAAGGUCGGCGGUUCGAUUCCGUCAUUACCUA